GACGAACGCUGGCGGCGUGCUUAACACAUGCAAGUCGAACGGGAAGGCCCUGCUUUUGUGGGGUGCUCGAGUGGCGAACGGGUGAGUAACACUUUAGUAACCUGCCCUCGACUUUGGGAUAACUUCAUGCAACUGGGGCUAAUAGCGGAUAGGAGCUCCUGCCGAAUGGUGGGGGCUGGAAAAUUUCGGCGGUUGGGGAUGUACUCGCGGCUUAUCAGCAUGUUGGUGGGGUAGUGGGUUACGAAGGCUUAGCCGGCUAGCCGGCGUGAGCGGGUGACCGGCCUCAUCGGGACUGAGAUACGGCCCAGACUCCGACGCGAGCCAGCAGUAGCGAAGAUUGAACAAUGGGCGGAAGCCUGAUGCAGCACCGCCGAGGGCGGGAUGGCGGCCAUCGGGUUGGAAUCCGCUUGCGCCUGUGACUAAGCGUAUGUGGCGGUUAUGGGUAGAGGAGCACCGGCUAACUACGUG
rnacentral:rRNA from 1 species